AUGCGCAAAGCGCUCAGCCCAGGCCUGGCACAUAGUAGGUGCUCAUCAGGCGGGGUCAAGUUAAUUGCCUGCUCUGAGGCUGGUCGGCUUUGUAGGGAAAGCAGUCCGAGAAUACUCUCCCCAGUGCUGGGGUCUGGAAGGCAAAGAAAAGCCUCCGCAUCUGGAGUGUCCGAGGUGAGGGGUGGCAUUUCCCCCCGGAGUCCCUGCCACUGUCCCAUCCCUACCCGGAGCAGCAGCUGGGCCCCAGCCCCCGACACCCCGACACCCCGGUGGAAGCAGGAGCAGCCCAGGCGCCAGAAGGAGGGAGGGAAAAGCCCACAACCGGGCAGGCGGAGCCUCCUGUCCCAGUCUGGCCCGGCUGGAAGGGGAGGGGGCUGCGGGGCCCGGACGUCAGAUGCCAUCAGCUCCCAGGGGACCAUUAAAGUCGCUGAGCUGCCAGGCGGGCCAGGGUGUCUACAGAGGUCCCUGCGUCCUCGGCGCCUGCUGCCACCCGCCUGGGCUGCCCGGCCUGGGUACGCGCCCCGGGGAGGCUGCCGCCCGGUCUCCCGCGCUCCCCUCUCUGGCUCUCUUCUCCUUAACUCCAUCUCUCCCUCUGUCUUCUCUGUUCUUCCUUCCCCUGUCUUUCCCCCUGUCUUUCUCUCUCCUUCCCUCUGCUUCCGUCUCUCCCAUGCUCUUUCUCUUUCCCUCCUCACCGUGUCCCAUCCGCGCCUUAUCUUUCCACCUUCCAAUGUCCUUCAUCCCUGUUCUCUGUACCUUUUUUUUCCAGAUGCCUUUUUGGUCUCUCUCAUUUUCUUCCUCUCUGCUUCUCUUUUUCUCUUCCUCUCUCAUCCUCUGCCAUCUGGUUCUUCCUGUGUCUCACUCUCAACCUCAAAAAUGCAGCACCUCAAAGACGAGAGGGUCCCGCCGCAUGAUGCCCCGGGGACUGUUGGCCCUGCGCUGCUGAGGGCAUCGAUGGAGCCCACUUGGGGCAGGAUUGGUGAAGAGGGUGUCCAGGCUGGAGAGGACUGGUGUCCGUCUCCUGGACUGGUGGGAUGGAGCCCUGGCUUUGAAGUGGUAGUGCCAUCUGCAUCACAUGGCCCGAUCAGGAUUAGCUACCAUCCGGGCAUUUCCUUCCAUCCCUCAAUACACUGA
rnacentral:lncRNA from 12 species